AUUGAACGCUGGCGGCGUGCUUAACACAUGCAAGUCGAGCGGUAACAGGCGUAGCAAUACGUGCUGACGAGCGGCGAACGGGUGCGUAAUACAUGGGAAUCUGCCCUUUGGUGGGGAAUAACCCGGCGAAAGCCGGGCUAAUGCCGCAUAAGAUCUUCGGAUGAAAGCGGGGGAUCGUAAGACCUCGCGCCGAUGGAUGAGCCCAUGUCGGAUUAGCUAGUUGGUGAGGUAACGGCUCACCAAGUCGACGAUCGUUAGCUGGUCUGAGAGGAUGAUCAGCCACACUGGAACUGAGACACGGUCCAGACUCCUACGGGAGGCAGCAGUAAGGAAUCUUCCACAAUGGGGGCAACCCUGAUGGAGCAACGCCGCGUGAAGGAUGAAGGCCCUAGGGUCGUAAACUUCUUUUGUUAGUGAGGAAUAUGACAGUAACUAACGAAUAAGGGUCGGCUAACUACGUGCCAGCCGCCGCGGUAAAAC
rnacentral:rRNA from 1 species